rnacentral:rRNA from 1 species
ACCCGCUGAACUUAAGCAUAUCAAUAAGCGGAGGAAAAGAAACUAACAAGGAUUCCCCUAGUAACUGCGAGUGAAGAGGGAAAAGCUCAAAUUUAAAAUCUGGUAGCUUCGCUGCCCGAGUUGUAAUUUAGAGAAGUGUUACCCGUGCUGGACCGUGUAUAAGUCUCCUGGGAUGGAGCGUCAUAGAGGGUGAGAAUCCCGUCUUUGACACGGACUACCAGUGCAUUGUGGUGCGCUCUCGAAGAGUCGAGUUGUUUGGGAAUGCAGCUCUAAAUGGGUGGUAAAUUCCAUCUAAAGCUAAAUAUUGGCGAGAGACCGAUAGCGAACAAGUACCGUGAGGGAAAGAUGAAAAGAACUUUGGAAAGAGAGUUAAACAGUACGUGAAAUUGCUGAAAGGGAAACGCUUGAAGUCAGUCGCGAUGACCGGGGAUCAGCCUUGCUUCUGUGAGGUGUACUUCCUGGUUUGACGGGUCAGCAUCAGUUUCGACCACUGGAAAAAGGCUUGGGGAAUGUGGCACCUUCGGGUGUGUUAUAGCCUCUUGUCGUAUACAGUGGUUGGGACUGAGGAACUCAGCACGCCGCAAGGCCGGGUUUCGACCACGUUCGUGCUUAGGAUGCUGGCAAAAUGGCUUUAAGCGACCCGUCUUGAAACACGG